UACGUAGGGUGCGAGCGUUAAUCGGAAUUACUGGGCGUAAAGCGUGCGCAGGCGGUUUUGUAAGCCAGAUGUGAAAUCCCCGGGCUCAACCUGGGAAUGGCAUUUGGGACUGCAAGGCUGGAGUGCGGCAGAGGAGACUGGAAUUCCUGGUGUAGCGGUGGAAUGCGCAGAUAUCAGGAGGAACACCGGUGGCGAAGGCGGUUCUCUGGGCCUUACCUGACGCUGAGGAGCGAAAGCGUGGGGAGCGAACAGG
rnacentral:rRNA from 1 species